AGCGGUUUUUGGGUUUGUUCACUUCCAGGUUGGAGUGCUCCCAGGUGAACUGCUGCCCGGGAUCGAUGGACUCGUACUCCUGGGAGAACUUGAGGCCAUCGUUGGCCUUCAGCCGGUCGAUGUUGUCGGCGAGGUCGGUCACGGGGAUGGGCGGGUGGUCCCGCAUGCCUGGAGUCUGGUAGUUGAGCCGCCUCAUCUCAACCGGGUCAGAGGAGUGGGCCAAGAGCGAGUCCUUCAGGCCAAUGGAGUGCUCAUCUUUGGAAGAGGGGGAGUGUGCUCUUUUCCUUUUGAAGAGGAGUAUAGCGAUGACGAUGAUGAUGAUUAAUAUCACAGCCAGGACAGGUCCCAUCACCCACAGCAUCUCUGGC
rnacentral:lncRNA from 1 species